CCGAAGACGACAGAAAAUAUCCUGUUAACACGUCUAUUAUAAGCAUUCACGCGACUGAAUUCACAUUUAAUUAUCCCUCUUUACAAGAGACAUACGUUUCAAUUUGAACAAUCAAGCUCCAGAGAAGCUACUAAAUGGACCUUUAGAUGAGAUGCAUCUUUUAAGUAACUGAUAGAUUUUCAAAAGAUUCCACCUUUGUGCUUCUAUCGCUGGAUCUCAGUGCAGCCUUUGAACACUGUAAGAUUAAGAUUUCUUUAUUGUCAUUUCUCAGUACUCACACACAUCGAAAUGAAAUUGAUCCUCUGUAUUUGAUCCAUCCUAUGCACACACACUAGGAGCAGUAUGGGCAGCUGCAAUGCAGCGACUGGGGACCAACUCCAGUUCUUUUUGCCAGUGCCUUGGCUGGGGGCGCAUGUCCUGAUUUUGCCAAGUGGUUGUUGUCUUGAGACCAACAUUUUGUAUGAUAGCCCUAGGACAACAACUGCCUCAGCAAAUCAACGUUUGUGAUGUCAUCACAGAGAGCCCUGAUGCCUGCUAAAUUUAAAAAAAAAACUAAAAAACAAAACAGGAGGUAAAAUCGGCUGUGCGAAGAUGCUUAAAUUACAAGGGGCUAUGUCCAACAUGAAAGUUUUAAAAUGUAUUUAUAAGUUUACACUAGUCUGUUACUACGGCUUUGUAAUUAUUAUGAUAUUAAAAUGGAUAUUUGCUUUUUACAUCAGCAUUUUGCCAGCAUGAGAGUAAGGUAACAUUAGCUUGCAUAGGUGAGGUAACAGUUAGCUAGGUUGCUACCAAAAACAAAAUUCUGCAGCUAGAAUCUUAACUAAAAGAAGAAAAUUUGACCAUAUUACACCAAUUCUAGCUUCCCUUCAUUGGCUUCCUAUUCAUGUUAGAUCAGACUUUAAGGUGCUUCUGCUAACUUCGUUUCUGUCUGAAUUAAAGCUGUCCUGUCAAUGAGAUUAUUGAUUACUGCAACUGUUCUGAUAACCAAUGCAUCUCUCAAACUUUUUUUCCACAAGUACAUGAGCAUCCGAGGUGUGUGCCCCUCUCUCCUCUCUCCCUCUCUCUCCUUAUUUUCUCUUUCUGUCCUCUCUUGUCUCUCGGGCAUCUUUUGCUGGACCAGCACCCAUCUUGGAACUCUGCUUCCCUAGCUGUUGGUUCCAUUUUCUGAGGUUUUGGAUCUGGUUCCCCAUCCUGCAGUUUUGCCUGGGUCCAGACCUUUGAUUCGCCCACUCCACUGAGUCAAGUUGACUGAUUCUGCUGGUCUGGCAUCAUAAAAUGAAGCAGUGGUUUCUCGGUUGAAAAAGCGAUUGAUCCUAUGAGUGCCACCGGGGGACUAACGAUUAGCUAAUCAAUGGCACGGGCAGGACUAACGCUGUUGUCAAGCUUUUGUCAAGUGUUGUCAAGAUGUGCGCCGGAACCAAGGAGGAAUAAACUAGGCAGUGCUGAUCAAAUAUGAAUCAAGAUUCUGUUACUGCGUUGCCUAUUUCUUGUCUCAAAUGUUUUCAGGACCAUACAGUAUUUUAGUGUACUGUUUAGCUGUAAUGUGAGAAAGUUUGUGACACAGCUGCCAAAACAGACGAGCCAAAACCAAGCACCGCCCAACUGGCAGUACAUUACCCACCAUGUCACCACCAGCAUUUAGUGGUGACCAAAUCGAAUCCCUCUCCCUCAGGGAAUUCGGUUAGAGUGGAGGCAAUAAGACUAAAGAUGGAAAUGGAGUGUAACAAGUUGUUAGUUCUGUUUGAUAUCAGGCAAGCAGGAUUUCUGCCUCACCUCAUGUCUCUGUCUCUCUCUCUGAAUGAUGUCUUUAUCCCUAAAGUCUUUUCCUGUCUCUUCGCUCAUAUAUGUGAAUGGAGUGAUGUGAGUCUCCCCUGUGUGCAUGUGUAGUCUGUCACAUGGCCCAGAUCCUAUUCUGUUCUGGUGGCACCUUGCAGCUAUUUGGUUUCCUCUUCAUUACAUUCUUCAUAUAUAUAUAUUAUAAAUCCAUUAUAAUUUUGUUAUCUUAUUCAGUGCUGUAUUGUGUAAUCUGUGUUCUAUUCUGCACACACAACAUCUAUUGCACAUCUGUCCAUCCUGGGAGAGGCAUCCCUUGUCUGUUGCUCUUGUCCUUCCCCUUUUUCCAUUUUCAAGGGACUUUUUCCUUAUUCAAAUCGAGGGUCUAAGGAUAGAGGAUGAUGUAUUGCUGUAC